GAUGAAUGCUGGCGGCGUGCCUAACACAUGCAAGUCGAGCGGCAGCGAGGGGUGCUUGCACCCUGUCGGCGAGCGGCGGACGGCUGAGUAACGCGUGGGAAUCUACCCUAAAGUGAGGGAUAACCGCCCGAAAGGGUGGCUAAUACCGCAUAUGAUCUUCGGAUUAAAGGAUUUAUCCGCUUUAGGAAGAGCCCGCGUUAGAUUAGGUAGUUGGUAGGGUAAUGGCCUACCAAGCCAACGAUCUAUAGCUGGUCUGAGAGGAUGAUCAGCCAGACUGGAACUGAGACACGGUCCAGACUCCUACGGGAGGCAGCAGUGAGGAAUCUUCCACAAUGGGCGAAAGCCUGAUGGAGCAACGCCGCGUGAAGGAUGAAGGCCUUCGGGUUGUAAACUUCUUUUAUGAGUGAAGAAUAUGACGGUAACUCAUGAAUAAGCACCGGCUACUC
rnacentral:rRNA from 1 species